AUUCCAGCUCUAUUACGGGAAAACGUUGAACAGGCAUUCCCUUCCUUCACCAGUGAAUAGCCAUAGCCAUUCCAUUCCACGGGAGUAAAUUUUUUUUUUCCAUUUUCAUUUUUUGCCCUCAGCUUCAUCUUCUCCUUUCCUUUCCAUCUCUGCGUUUCCCUUUUUUUUCCUUCUUAUUUCCCCAUCUGCUGCUACUGUUUCUGUUCGCCUUCUUAUUGCCGUUCAGAGCACGGUAGGAAUGCUGAGAGAUUACCUUCUUUCUUUUUCAUUUUUAGCCUCAUUUUUCAUCAUCAUCCUUUCUGCAGUUUCAACUACAGCCUCUACGUUCAUUACCUUCUCCAUUUAUAAAGCUCUAAACACCAUUGCCCCUCACCAAUUUUUUCAAUCUUUUCCUCGUAGCAAUCGAGAUCGUAGAAAUUUCCCAAUUAAGGGCAAAAUCUUCAGCAAGGAAAAAAAUCCAGACUUAAUUGAAGAACACAUUACAUUCUGGUUUUGAGUUCAAAGCGAUUCAAGAUAAGGUUUCCCUUCAUUUAAGACCUUGGCAUCGUUCAUUUCAGUUCUGGGUUCGAGCAGUUGAUAUUUAUGGGCUAUAAGUUCUCUUCUUUAUCUUCUUCUUCCUUUGAUUCUUCUUCUUGUUGUUAAUUUGAUAGUUUUGCAUUGUUGGGUAAUUGUUGAAAUGAUAGGUGUUUCAACUUCGAGUAAGUUUUGUGAAGGAUCCACAAAAGCAAUAAGCAAUAAGCAAUGUGGGAUUUAUUAUUGGUGACUAUUGUUGAUUGAAUUCAAUGUCUAAUUUGAAAAUUUACUUAUAUUAUUGGCACGGCACUUCUUUAUGCAAAUAACUUUGUUAUAUUUUGGGAUUUUCUGAGAGUUCCUAUGUUUCCUGCUUGUUUGCUUUCUCUUUUCAAGUGCAUGGUUCUUUGUGUUAUUUUUUAAUUCAGUUUUUAAAUUAUGACCUACUAUAUCUGUAACUAGAGUUUUAGUUUCUACAUAAUAACUUAAUAGUCUAAAACUUUCACGGAACUGCCAAGAUACUCGUACUGUCAUGGUAAGUUUUGAUAAUGUGAAAUUUUAUGUUGUUAUUGAGGAAUAAAUGUAAGCUUUUGCAAGUGAUUGAUAAUUCAAGUAAAUUUUUACAUGAAUCUUUAGGCAGAGCAAUCCAUCUUUCAUUGGUAAUUAGGUGAAGCCUGUUUAAACCUGUGUUUGUUGCUUCAAAAUUGGUUACUUUUCUGAGCUGCAUGUUGGUUCACCAUUUAGUAUCUGCCGCAUUUUGUUAAAUUUUGGAUUUUCUGCUUAGUGUUCAUAUGAUGUUCUUGUCUACAUGCCCCAAAAUUGAUUAUUUGCUUGAUAGUUUAUACCAUGGUUUCAUUAAGACUGAAGACACUUUCUUCCUUGUAUGCUGAUGAUGUUGAUGUUCCUCAGGUGCAACACUAUCGGCUUUUUCUGAAAGAACAUGUUGUUUUUAAGGAGGCUAUUCCAAUUAAAAAUCCCCUCGCCCUGUCAAAGAUACACCAGACAUACAGAGUUCAUUUUCUUUCUAUAAGUACUAUCAUAGGGAUAUAAUUAUUAAGGUUCCAAAUGCUUUCAUCCUUGUUCCUUGCUGUGGCAUCUUUAAACACUAUUUGUGCUAAUUCUUUUACUGAAAGUUGUUUCUCCUCCUUAUAUCUAUAGAUGAGGUUUUUCCAUAAUUAAUUUUGUAGGAAUUAUUUGUUGCAUUUUUUUCAUUAUUUAUUGCAUGAGGUUAAUGGCUUGCUUGAGUUUUUCCAAGGUUCUUGGUAGUUAUAUCAAUUUUUGGUAAUUAUUUCUGGUUUGAAGCUGGUUAUAUAUUAUUGGAUCACGGUGAUCAUUAUAUGUGUGCUUUGACUAAUCAAAUCUUGGUGGUAAUACAUUCCACGCUGUGUAAGUAGGAAUUUUUGUUCAUUUCAUCAAAUCUAGGUGAAAUUUGUAAAUUAUGUGCCCCAACUCUUUUGCAAGUGAGCUGUAAAUUUGUCAUUGAUGUUAUUUUGUAUCAUUAAAUUUCUAUAAUUUCAGGAAUGAUGGAUUUCAUAAGGUAAGUUUUUUAUUAAAUUUUUGCUUAUGUGCCAAGAGUCAAGAGUGGCU